CUUCGUGCGAUCCAGGGAGCUCGUGUCUGUGCUGCGUCUGACGUCUUGUUGAUACGGCUCAAGAUGAGCAGAAUGAAGGUCAAUCUCGAAGUCCCAGUCAGAGCUCAAGGCCUGUGAGGCAGGACUUCAUUCCUUGAUGAAUGCGGCUCAACUGCUAACAGGAUAAAAAGACACGGACCAGGGUUGGACGCUUUUUAGAAUUUCCUCUCGUGAGGCACAACGACGUGUCCGCGAAUGAUAGGUCCGCGACGCCGUCCUCCCCCUGCAUCCAGAACGCUAGUGUCAUGGGUGGAGGGGAGCGAGGCUGCCAUCUCCGAAGACAACACGCCUCUGAGUGUGCGCCUCCUAGUUUGUGCGGCAAUGUUCCCCGUGUUCAAUGAGAAAAUUCAAUGCCCCAGCGCCCAGCUAGUACUGACGCAAGAGCUCUCCCAAAAGUCGUUCGGGAAGUCGUUAAAAAAUCGUUGCGCCGACCGGCUCCACAAGCUGAAGACUGCGCCAGUGAAUGCAUUUGAAACGGCACCUCUACUCUCCCAUCGCCAGGCCCAAAGACGUGUUGUUCAUAGGUGUCGUU